rnacentral:rRNA from 1 species
GAUGAACGCUGGCGGCGUGCCUAACACAUGCAAGUCGAGCGAACGGACGCUAAGCUUGUUUCUUUGAUGUUAGCGGCGGACGGGUGUGUAACGCGUGGAUCCUCUCCCUAUCAGUCUGGGAUAAUCACGGGAGACCGGAUCUUAUACCGGAUCAUAUUUUGAACCGCUUGGUUCAAAGGUGAUUGUCGGUCUUGGUGUCUCUUAUAGCUGGAUCCGGGCUGGAUGAGAUGGUUGUUAAGGUCACGGCUUAUCAAGGCUACGAUGCGUAGCCGACCUGCGAGGGUGAUCGGCCACACUGGAACUGAGACACGGUCCAGACUCCUACGGGAGGCAGCAGUAGGGAAUCUUCCGCAAUGGGCGAGAGCCUGACACAGCAACGCCGCGUGAGUGAUGAAGGUCUUCGGAUCGUAAAGCUCUGUUAUGAGGGAAGAACAUAUGUGUAAGUAGCUGUGCAGAUCUUGACGGUACCUAAUCAAAAAGCCACGGCUAACUACGUG